rnacentral:rRNA from 1 species
GACGAACGCUGGCGGCGUGCUUAACACAUGCAAGUCGAACGGAAAGGCCCUGCUUUUGUGGGGUGCUCGAGUGGCGAACGGGUGAGUAACACGUGAGUAACCUGCCCUUGACUUUGGGAUAACUUCAGGAAACUGGGGCUAAUACCGGAUAGGAGCUCCUGCUGCAUGGUGGGGGUUGGAAAGUUUCGGCGGUUGGGGAUGGACUCGCGGCUGAUCAGCUUGUUGGUGGGGUAGUGGCUUACCAAGGCUUUGACGGGUAGCCGGCCUGAGAGGGUGACCGGCCACAUUGGUACUGAGAGACGGCCCAGACUCCUACGGGAGGCAGCAGUGGGGAAUAUUGCACAGUGGGCGGAAGCCUGAUGCAGCAACGCUGCGUGCGGGAUGACGGCCUUCGGGUUGUAAACCGCUUUCGCCUGUGACGAAGCGUGAGUGACGGUAAUGGGUAAAGAAGCACCGGCUAACUACGUG